AUUGAACGCUGGCGGCAGGCCUAACACAUGCAAGUCGAGCGGAUGAAGGGAGCUUGCUCCUGGAUUCAGCGGCGGACGGGUGAGUAAUGCCUAGGAAUCUGCCUGGUAGUGGGGGAUAACGUCCGGAAACGGGCGCUAAUACCGCAUACGUCCUGAGGGAGAAAGUGGGGGAUCUUCGGACCUCACGCUAUCAGAUGAGCCUAGGUCGGAUUAGCUAGUUGGUGGGGUAAAGGCCUACCAAGGCGACGAUCCGUAACUGGUCUGAGAGGAUGAUCAGUCACACUGGAACUGAGACACGGACCAGACUCCUACGGGAGGCAGCAGUGGGGAAUAUUGGACAAUGGGCGAAAGCCUGAUCCAGCCAUGCCACGUGUGUGAAGAAGGUCUUCGGAUUGUAAAGCACUUUAAGUUGGGAGGAAGGGCAGUAAGUUAAUACCUUGCUGUUUUGACGUUACCAACAGAAUAAGCACCGGCUAACUUCGUG
rnacentral:rRNA from 1 species